rnacentral:rRNA from 1 species
CUAUACAUGCAGUCGAGCGGACAGAAGGGAGCUUGCUCCCGGAUGUUAGCGGCGGACGGGUGAGUAACACGUGGGUAACCUGCCUGUAAGACUGGGAUAACUCCGGGAAACCGGAGCUAAUACCGGAUAGUUCCUUGAACCGCAUGGUUCAAGGAUGAAAGACGGUUUCGGCUGUCACUUACAGAUGGACCCGCGGCGCAUUAGCUAGUUGGUGAGGUAACGGCUCACCAAGGCGACGAUGCGUAGCCGACCUGAGAGGGUGAUCGGCCACACUGGGACUGAGACACGGCCCAGACUCCUACGGGAGGCAGCAGUAGGGAAUCUUCCGCAAUGGACGAAAGUCUGACGGAGCAACGCCGCGUGAGUGAUGAAGGUUUUCGGAUCGUAAAGCUCUGUUGUUAGGGAAGAACAAGUGCAAGAGUAACUGCUUGCACCUUGACGGUACCUAACCAGAAAGCCACGGCUAACUACGUGCCAGCAGCCGCGGUAAUACGUAGGUGGCAAGCGUUGUCCGGAAUUAUUGGGCGUAAAGGGCUCGCAGGCGGUUUCUUAAGUCUGAUGUGAAAGCCCCCGGCUCAACCGGGGAGGGUCAUUGGAAACUGGGAAACUUGAGUGCAGAAGAGGAGAGUGGAAUUCCACGUGUAGCGGUGAAAUGCGUAGAGAUGUGGAGGAACACCAGUGGCGAAGGCGACUCUCUGGUCUGUAACUGACGCUGAGGAGCGAAAGCGUGGGGAGCGAACAGGAU